UCUCAGUUGAUGGUCUGUGAAGAGUCUU
rnacentral:piRNA from 1 species